GCACAACGCUGUGAGUCUAUAAGCGUCACUUGUGCCUUUGUGGGUGAGAGGAAAUGUCAACACUGUUUUAGCACUUCAUAAAUAUUUAUUUGGCGACCACAUUACACACAUACAUACAAGUAUACACGCGCAGCCUUCCGGCGACAAGUUCUAUGAUUGACUAUGGCUUUCAUGGCUUUGUAGGUGUGUGUGUGUAGGAACACAUUUAGCAGCGUAUGCAGUUUUGUGCAUCGCAUGCAUUUGGUCAGUCGUACAUAGCCCACCCGACACGGCAGACACUGGUGAAUAUACGGAGUAAAAAUUACAAUCAACUUGUUUCAUUAGUAAAGGGCAGUUUACUCUUUACUCUUGCUAAAGCAAUCGUACAGUGGUGACCCCGAGGAUUCGAACUUUAUUUAUACCGUGCCUUUUGUGUACUGUGAAAGUGUUUUUUGGGACUUGGACCGGUACGACCCACUACUGCGAUUUCCUGCACCAUGGCGCAGGCCGACGCAGACGAUUUCAAGCAAACCAUGGCUCCGGAAGCUGCUCUCCAACUGUCAAGCAUUACCAUAUCAUCACGCAUACCAGAGUUUUGGAUGGACCAACCACGCCUUUGGUUUAUCCAGAUUGAGGCUAUCCUGUGCCCGCAGAAGCUAGGCGACGAGCAAAAAUACAACUUGGUAAUCGCGAAAUUAAGCAAGGAGGCCAUAGCCUAAGUUACCGAUUUUUUGGCCAAACCACCGGAGAAAAAUAGGUAUAAUGCUCUGAAAGAGAAAUUACUUCAAGUUUUUGAAGAGUCAGAGGCCCGAAAACGAUACAAGCUGAUUGGUGAGAUGGAGCUUGGUGACCAGCGCCCAUCCCAGCUGCUGACGAAGAUGACUGACCUGGCACGGGGGAAGGUGAGCGAGGACACUCUAUCUUUGCUGUGGAAAAGGCAUCUCCCGAUGUCAGUACGCGCAGUCCUCACCGUAUCUGAGACCAGCGAUUUGGCACAGCUCGCCAAACUCGCCGACAAAGUGCUGGAAAACAUCCAGCCUUCUCAGAGGUUGGUGCCGCAGAAAAAGGUGAGUCUACUACAUCUAUUUUGGCGGAGAUCGCGAAAAUAAAUUCACGCCUUGACAACAUGACUGUUUCUACUUCGGGACCCAGGCGUAAUUUCAAUCGUAACAACGAGAGGUUCCGGGGAAGGUCACGAUCCCGGCCGGGUGCGAACGCGAAACGUACCCAACGCAGCCCGGAUUGGCUUUGCUAUUACCACUACAGAUAUCGUACUAAAGCCAACAAGUGUGUUCAGCCCUGUAGCUGGAAGGACACCACGGAAAACUGGUGGAGGUGCAGCCCGCGGCGGAUGGCUGUACGAGUCUUCUUACCAACAACCGCCUUACAGUUACUGAUUCUACGACAGGAUUACGUUUUCUGAUUGAUACUGGUGCUAGUGUGUCCGUAAUUCCGUAUAACAGCAGGUUAGUGAAAAAGUGCGAUUCUAAAGUGUGCGACUAUACGCUAUACGCCGCAAACGGUUCAGAAAUUAAGACUUAUGGUUUUAAAACUAUUGUGUUAGAUUUAAAUUUAAGACGUAAUUAUCAUUGGACAUUUAUAAUAGCCGAUGUCAAACAGCCUAUUUUAGGAGCAGAUUUCAUAAAAUAUCACAGACUUUUAGUGGAUUUAUCUGGUCAUAGAUUAAUUGAUCGACAAACUAACAUCGGUAGCCACUGUUGUAAAUUGGAAUGAGCCCUCGUUGAGAACUAUCGAUUCUAAUCAUCCAUAUGAACAAUUAUUGUCUAAAUACCCAGAUAUUUGCAAACCGAUUAAUUGUAAAGACGUACCUAAACAUUCAGUUAUGCAUUUUAUCGAGACAAGCGGCCGGCCGGUGUCAGCGCGCUCAAGGCCGCUCCCGCCCGACCGAUAUAAGAAAGUCAAGGCUGAGUUCACACUCAUGCAGGAAACGGGCAUAUGUCGUCCAUCUAAUGGAGCAUUGUCUAGUCCCUUGCAUGUUGUGCCUAAAAAAGACGGCCAAUUAAGACCUUGUGGCGACUAUAGAGCCUUGAACGCCAUAACUAAACCUGACUUGUAUCCUAUCCCAAGGAUACAAGACUUUACAUAUGUCUUACCUAAUAAAACUAUUUUCUCUAGAUUGGACGUCUGCAGAGCUUAUCACAACAUUCCUGUAAACCCCGACGACAUAGAGAAGACGGCAAUUAUCACGCCGUUCGGUCUAUAUGAAUUUCCGCGAAUGAGUUUUGGUCUUAGAAAUGCAGCCCAAACCUUUCAACGAUUCAUGAACAACUCGGUGUUGCAGGGAAUACAAGCUGUGAGCUCUGACGGUGAUAUUAUUGAAGGUUCUGAUUUUCUAUAUUGUUAUUUAGAUGACGUAAUUGUCGCUAGUCUAAAUAUGAAUGAGCAUAAGUCGCAAUUGGACGCGAUUUUUAAACGUUUUGACGAAUUCGGCAUAACCAUUUAUUUGAGUAAAUGUGUUUUCGGUCAACAGAAAAUUGAAUUCUUGGGAUAUCAAGUGUCCAGCGACGGUGUGCUACCUUUGGGGGACAAGGUCAAGGCGAUAGUCGAUUUCCCUCGCCCAGAAACUGUUGACAAGUUGAGGCAAUUUUUAGGGAUGCUGAAUUUCUAUAGAGCUCACUUACCAAAAGCGGCCCAGCGGCAGGCAGAGCUCAAUAAAUUUUUAAAAGGCGCCAAGAAAAAGGAUAAGUCGAAGAUUCUAUGUGACGAAAAAUCGGAUAAUGCGUUUUUACAGUGUAAACGCAACUUACAAGAGGCAGCGUUGUUAACUUAUCCAAGUGAAAACGCUCCCUCAUGUCUCAUGGCGGACGCGUCUAAUGAUUGCGUAGGCGCGGUUUUACAAACUGAAGUCCGAGGUUCUUGGAGACCCUUAGGAUACUUUUCUAGACGUAUGACGGAUACGGAGCGUAAGUAUAGUGCUUACGAUCGGGAACUGUUAGCUAUUUACCUCAGCAUACAGCAUUUUAGGUAUAUGCUUGAAGGACGUACUUUUACAGUGCUAACAGAUCAUAAGCCGUUAACUCAUGCGUUUAGUCAAAAACCUAGCGCGAAAGAUACCCCACGACGUACUCGACAGCUCAUGUUUAUCAGUGAGUUCACAACUGAUAUUCGAUAUGUGAACGGUUCCGAGAACGUAGUUGCGGACUGCUUAUCGCGCAUAGAGACAGUAACGUGUCCCACAAACAUCGACUACCAAGAAUUAUUCCAAGCGCAAAAUGCUGACGGCGAAUUGUCGGAAUUGUUAGUCACCGGACACGAACUUUAAUUUUAAUAUUAAAAAAGUUUCAUUACCUGAUUCUAAUCAAACCAUUUAUUGCGACGUGUCAACUAGCCGUAUUCGACACUAUUUGCCUGAGAGUUUUAGACGAAAGGCAUUCCAGAUGUUGCACAAUCUAAGCCAUCCAGGUAUAAGGUCGACCCGGAAGUUAGUUAGCGAAAGAUUUUAUUGGCCGAAUAUGAACAAGGACGUAGGUCUCUGGGCCAAAACCUGUGUUCAUUGCCAAAAGGUUAAGGUCACGAGACACACCAUAUCGCGAUUCGGCGAAUUUCAGCGGGCAGAUCGAUUUGAACAUGUUCACUUAGAUCUAGUCGGCCCACUGCCGACGUCACAAGAAGGUUAUAGAUACUUGUUGACGUUAAUCGACCGAACCACACGGUGGCCUGAGGCUUUCCCGCUAAAGGAUAUUUCUGCUAACACCGUAGCUAAAGCGUUUUAUGAAGGUUGGAUAGUGCGUUUUGGAUGUCCCGUUAGGUUAACUAGUGACCAAGGUACCCAAUUCGAGAGUCAUCUCUUCAACUCACUUCUAAAGUACUUGGGUGUAGCGAAGAGUAGAACCACACCAUACCACCCACAGUGCAAUGGUAUCGUCGAGCGUUGACAUCGUUCUCUCAAAACAUCUUUGCGAGCGAGGCUCGAAUGCACGGGCAGUACGUCGAUUGAUCAGAUACCUACGGUCCUACUCGGGCUACGCGCUGUUGCACGUAGCGACACAGGUGUCAGCGCAACACAAAUGGUUUAUGGCGAUAAUAUCAGGUUACCAGGAGAGUUUUGUGCUAACACAAAACAACAAUGUAAUAAUGACGCAGAGUUAAUUCGGAAAAUUAGAGAAUCUAUUCAUAAAAUUCGUCCUGUUUCAAUUAAAAACAGAGAUCAAAAAUCUAUUUUUGUACACCCUGAUUUGAAUACGUGUAAAUUCAUUUUUGUACGAAAUGAGGUUGAACGUUCAUCUCUCGAACCAUCUUAUUCAGGACCUUAUAAAAUUUUACAGCGAACUUCUAAGGUUUUUAAAAUUCAGUUACCACAUAGAGAAACGCGUGUGUCGAUAGAUAGAUUAAAACCGGCAUAUAUUCUCAACGAGGAGGACGUUCUAACAUCGUCUUUAUGUCCGCCCAUUACGGACGAUAUUGUUUUGCCUUUUAAUGUAUCAGUGCCCAAACAAUGUAUUGUCGUUCCAACUCCUACAUACUCACGUAGCGGUAGGCAAAUACGAAAACCGGUGCGAUUUGUUAAUUGAGGUUGAGCAAUUUCAUGAUGCGACAAAAUAAUUAUUUUGAAUUUAUUAUUUGGAACGUGACGUCGACAGCUAUUUACAUAUAUUACUUUUAUGCAUAUUGUACUUCUUGCACAUUAUUUGUCCAGUUUCGUUUAAAUUUUAUGUACGAUAACAUCUACACCUGAUACCCCAAAAUGGGAAACUAUUAUUGUUAAAGAAGAGGACAAAUCGUUGACGAUAAAUAAGGAGACAGUAGACAGAUAACCUACAGAAUCUGCAGUAUUUAUCUAUUGGCCUUGGAGUAAUCGUAGGAGUCCUAAUACUCGCUGGUUUAUACCUCCUGUUUACGCGCUGUCGCAAGGGUGCACAGAAUUAUAUUUGGAAACAAAUGAGGUUCUGGGAUGUACAGCUCGGACAAGGCCGUCCGUCAGCUGCCACCAUCCAGUUGCGUGAAGUCGCGCCUAAAUCUCAACCUCAGGAAGCAAGAAGUACCGCUUUCGUGUAACCGCGUUCGUUUCAUGUAAUAACCAACGUACGUAAUUUGUGUAAAAUGUACGUAUAGGUUAAAAUUUUUUUUUUUAUGUUAUGUUUAAAUUUUUAUCCUGUUAAUUUAUAUUCUUUUGUCAUGUUUAUUGUUUAACGAAAUGUCUGCAAUUUUAGAAAUUAGUUGAAGCAUGUAAAUGUAUUUUUUUUUUUUAAAUGUAUGUAUUUAAAAAACGGAGGGGCUUAUGUAGGGACACAUUUAGCAGCGUAUGCAGUUUUGUGCAUCGCCUGCAUUUGGUCAGUCGUACAUAGCCCACCCGACACGGCAGACACUGGUGAAUAUACGGAGUUUGUAGUCAGCUCUCACAGCAAGUACUUGCAUAGUGCUGAUGGAGUCACAGAGAAGCCCUUGUAUAUUGAGGACAAUACGAAUGGGUACUACAGUGAUGCGAGCAACAGCGUUAUCAGAAGGGUAAA